rnacentral:rRNA from 1 species
GGCGGACGGGUUGAGUAACGCGUAGGAAUCUACCUAAUAGUGGGGGAUAGCCCAGGGAAACUUGGAUUAAUACCGCAUACGCCCUAAGGGGGAAAGCGGGGGAUCUUCGGACCUCGUGCUAUUAGAUGAGCCUGCGUAAGAUUAGCUAGUUGGUGAGGUAAGAGCUCACCAAGGCGACGAUCUUUAGCUGGUCUGAGAGGAUGAUCAGCCACACUGGGACUGAGACACGGCCCAGACUCCUACGGGAGGCAGCAGUGGGGAAUAUUGGACGAUGGGGGCAACCCUGAUCCAGCCAUGCCGCGUGUGUGAAGAAGGCCUUCGGGUUGUAAAGCACUUUCAGAUGUGAGGAAAGGUUACAGAUUAAUACUCUGUAGCUGUGACGUUAACAUCAGAAGAAGGACCGGCUAACUCCGUGCCAGCAGCCGCGGUAAUACGGAGGGUCCGAGCGUUAAUCGGAAUUACUGGGCGUAAAGCGCGC